rnacentral:rRNA from 1 species
AGUGAACGCUGGCGGUAGGCCUAACACAUGCAAGUCGAACGGCAGCACAGUAAGAGCUUGCUCUUACGGGUGGCGAGUGGCGGACGGGUGAGGAAUACAUCGGAAUCUACUUUUUCGUGGGGGAUAACGUAGGGAAACUUACGCUAAUACCGCAUACGACCUACGGGUGAAAGCAGGGGAUCCUCGGACCUUGCGCGAUUGAAUGAGCCGAUGUCGGAUUAGCUAGUUGGCGGGGUAAAGGCCCACCAAGGCGACGAUCCGUAGCUGGUCUGAGAGGAUGAUCAGCCACACUGGAACUGAGACACGGUCCAGACUCCUACGGGAGGCAGCAGUGGGGAAUAUUGGACAAUGGGCGCAAGCCUGGUCCAGCCAUACCGCGUGGGUGAAGAAGGCCUUCGGGUUGUAAAGCCCUUUUGUUGGGAAAGAAAAGCAGCAGGUUAAUACCCCGCUGUUCUGACGGUACCCAAAGAAUAAGCACCGGCUAACUUCGUG